GAGGGUAAAGCUCAGUGGUAGAGCGUGUGCUUAGCAUGCACGAGGUCCUGGGUUCAAUCCCCAGUACCUCCA
rnacentral:tRNA from 1 species